AUUGAACGCUGGCGGAAUGCUUUACACAUGCAAGUCGAACGGCAGCACGGGGGCAACCCUGGUGGCGAGUGGCGAACGGGUGAGUAAUACAUCGGAACGUGCCCAGUCGUGGGGGAUAACGUAGCGAAAGUUACGCUAAUACCGCAUACGAUCUACGGAUGAAAGCGGGGGACCGUAAGGCCUCGCGCGCUUGGAGCGGCCGAGGUCAGAUUAGGUAGUUGGUGAGGUAAAGGCUCACCAAGCCGACGAUCUGUAGCUGGUCUGAGAGGACGACCAGCCACACUGGGACUGAGACACGGCCCAGACUCCUACGGGAGGCAGCAGUGGGGAAUUUUGGACAAUGGGCGCAAGCCUGAUCCAGCCAUUCCGCGUGCAGGACGAAGGCCUUCGGGUUGUAAACUGCUUUUGUACGGAACGAAAAGGCUCUGGUUAAUACCUGGGGCUCAUGACGGUACCGUAAGAAUAAGCACCGGCUAACUACGUGCCAGCCGCCGCGGUAA
rnacentral:rRNA from 1 species